rnacentral:rRNA from 1 species
UACAGAGGGUGCAAGCGUUAAUCGGAAUUACUGGGCGUAAAGCGUGCGUAGACGGUUAUUUAAGUCGGGUGUGAAAGCCCCGGGCUCAACCUGGGAAUUGCAUUUGAGACUGCAUAGCUAGGGUGCGGAAGAGGGAAGCGGAAUUUCCGGUGUAGCGGUGAAAUGCGUAGAUAUCGGAAGGAACACCAGUGGCGAAAGCGGCUUCCUGGUCCAGCACCGACGUUCAGGCACGAAAGCGUGGGGAGCAAACAGG